rnacentral:rRNA from 1 species
AUGGAGCAGAAACGAGUAGGGAAACCAAGAAGCUCAACGUGCCAUCAGCCUUCAUCUUUACAAAUAGUAGCCAUCGCGAUGGGUCUAUAUACAAGAACUCGUGUCUCGACAUAUUUCGCGUCAAAUACCGUGGUGAGAGGAUCUCUCAUUGAGAUGACUGGCCCUAAGAGGGGCAUCACAAUGACCAGCCCUGUUCUAGUUGAGUAUGACAUGAGGAUCAAGAAAGGGGAGCAAGAAGAAUAUGAUCUACAAUUAAUUGAUGGUGCAACAGACUUCUGCGAAGUAACCACACCUUCUCAUCCAUUCACGAGUCGGAUUAAUGGCGAUUGUGGUGCGGUUGACAUCACUUUAGCACACGUUGUCAAUGCAGUGGAGGCCACAAUAGAUGUUAUCGUAUCAGAAGUGCGGAGUGGAUUCAAUUUAUCUCUCAGUUUGUAUGUGUUUGUAGGUGGGUCAUAUCAGGGAAUCGAGCUCCUGUGUGACAUUAUUGGUGAGUCAUGUGUCAUAACAAGAAGAUAUGUGAUUGCUGUAGAGAUGGAUAGUUGGAUGCAUUUGAAGCUCAAGGUAGGCCAGGAAGGGUCUAAAUAUGGUGAACGUCAUUGUCGUUUCAAAGCAAACCUCCAUGAAUUUGCGCGUUGA